rnacentral:rRNA from 1 species
AUUGAACGCUGGCGGCAUGCCUUACACAUGCAAGUCGAACGGCAGCACGGGAGCAAUCCCGGUGGCGAGUGGCGAACGGGUGAGUAAUAUAUCGGAACGUGCCCAGUAGUGGGGGAUAACUGCUCGAAAGAGCAGCUAAUACCGCAUACGACCUGAGGGUGAAAGGGGGGGAUCGCAAGACCUUUCGCUAUUGGAGCGGCCGAUAUCAGAUUAGCUAGUUGGUGGGGUAAAGGCCUACCAAGGCAACGAUCUGUAGUUGGUCUGAGAGGACGACCAGCCACACUGGGACUGAGACACGGCCCAGACUCCUACGGGAGGCAGCAGUGGGGAAUUUUGGACAAUGGGCGCAAGCCUGAUCCAGCAAUGCCGCGUGCAGGAAGAAGGCCUUCGGGUUGUAAACUGCUUUUGUCAGGGAAGAAAUCCUCUAGGUUAAUACCCUUGGGGGGAUGACGGUACCUGAAGAAUAAGCACCGGCUAACUACGUGCCAGCAGCCGCAGUAACAC